AAUCCAUAGGUUAAUGAGGCGAACCGGGGGAACUGAAACAUCUAAGUACCCCGAGGAAAAGAAAUCAACCGAGAUUCCCCCAGUAGCGGCGAGCGAACGGGGAGGAGCCCAGAGCCUGAAUCAGCAUGUGUGUUAGUGGAAGCGUCUGGAAAGGCGCGCGAUACAGGGUGACAGCCCCGUACACAAAAGCGCAUGUGCUGUGAGCUCGAUGAGUAGGGCGGGACACGUGGUAUCCUGUCUGAAUAUGGGGGGACCAUCCUCCAAGGCUAAAUACUCCUGACUGACCGAUAGUGAACCAGUACCGUGAGGGAAAGGCGAAAAGAACCCCGGCGAGGGGAGUGAAAAAGAACCUGAAACCGUGUACGUACAAGCAGUGGGAGCACAGGUUUACCUGUGUGACUGCGUACCUUUUGUAUAAUGGGUCAGCGACUUAUAUUCUGUAGCAAGGUUAACCGAAUAGGGGAGCCGGAGGGAAACCGAGUCUUAAUUGGGCGUUAAGUUGCAGGGUAUAGACCCGAAACCCGGUGAUCUAGCCAUGGGCAGGUUGAAGGUUGGGUAACACUAACUGGAGGACCGAACCGACUAAUGUUGAAAAAUUAGCGGAUGACCUGUGGCUGGGGGUGAAAGGCCAAUCAAACCGGGAGAUAGCUGGUUCUCCCCGAAAGCUAUUUAGGUAGCGCCUCGUGAAUUCAUCUCCGGGGGUAGAGCACUGUUUCGGCUAGGGGGCCAUCCCGGCUUACCAACCCGAUGCAAACUGCGAAUACCGGAGAAUGUUAUCACGGGAGACACACGGCGGGUGCUAACGUCCGUCGUGAAGAGGGAAACAACCCAGACCGCCAGCUAAGGUCCCAAAGUCAUGGUUAAGUGGGAAACGAUGUGGGAAGGCCCAGACAGCCAGGAUGUUGGCUUAGAAGCAGCCAUCAUUUAAAGAAAGCGUAAUAGCUCACUGGUCGAGUCGGCCUGCGCGGAAGAUGUAACGGGGCUAAACCAUGCACCGAAGCUGCGGCAGCGACACUGUGUGUUGUUGGGUAGGGGAGCGUUCUGUAAGCCUGUGAAGGUGUGUCGUGAGGC
rnacentral:rRNA from 5 species